UGCCAGUGGUGCGCCCAGAUACAUA
rnacentral:misc_RNA from 1 species